CCGAGUUAUACAAACUCAUCAACCCUGUGAACAUACCUAAAAACGUUGCUUCGGCGGGAAACAGACGGCCCUGUAAACAACGGGCCCGCCCCCCGCCAGAGGGACCCCUAACUCUGUUUUUUAUAAUGUUUUUUUUCUGAGUAAACAAGCAAAAUAAAUUAA
rnacentral:misc_RNA from 1 species